GAAUCAACGCUGGCGGCGUGCCUCAGACAUGCAAGUCGAACGCGAAAGUCCCCUUCGGGGGACAAGUAGAGUGGCGCACGGGUGAGUAACACGUAGGUAAUCUACCUUCGGAUGGGGAAUAACAAUCGGAAACGGUUGCUAAUACCGCAUAAUGCAGCGGCACCUAAUGGUGACAGUUGUUAAAGCGGGGGAUCGAAGACCUCGCGUCUGAAGAGGAGCCUGCGGCGGAUUAGCAGUUGGUAAGGUAAUGGCUUACCAAGGCUACGAUCCGUAACCGGCCUGAGAGGGGCGGUCGGUCACACUGACACUGACA
rnacentral:rRNA from 1 species